AUACAGGUCACUAGGGUGAUGAAGAAGGCAUUUAGGAUGCACGCCUUCAUUGCAUGGUGGUUAUGCAGCGCUGGAUUUCCAUGUCACCACACUUUAGGAAGGACGUGACUGCCCUCGGGAG